rnacentral:rRNA from 1 species
CAGCCGCCGCGGUAAUACGUAGGUGGCAAGCGUUAUCCGGAUUUAUUGGGCGUAAAGGGUGCGUAGGCGGCAGUUUAAGUUUAAGGUGAAAGCGUUGGGCUCAACCCAAUACAGCCUUAAAAACUGGACAGCUAGAGUGCAGGAGAGGUUAGCGGAAUUCCAUGUGUAGCGGUAAAAUGCGUAGAUAUAUGGAGGAACACCAGUGGCGAAGGCGGCUAACUGGCCUGUAACUGACGCUGAGGCACGAAAGCGUGGGGAGCAAAUAGGAUUAGAUACCCUAGUAGUCCACGCUGUAAACGAUGAAUACUAAGUGUUGGGGAAACUCAGUGCUGCAGUUAACGCAAUAAGUAUUCCGCCUGGGGAGUAUGCACGCAAGUGUGAAACUCAAAGGAAUUGACGGGGACCCGCACAAGCGGUGGAUUAUGUGGUUUAAUUCGACGCAACGCGAAGAACCUUACCAAGCCUUGACAUCCCGAGCAAAUCUAUAGAGAUAUAGAGGAGGUUAUCUCGGUGACAGGUGGUGCAUGGCC